UCUUUCUUUAUUUUUAUUUUUUUAAGAAGUUUUUAAUUAUUUAUUUAUUUGACACACAGAGAGAGAGAGAAAACGAGCCUAGUGCACACGCAGGGGGAGAGGCAGGCAGAGGGAGAGAGAAAAACAGGCUCUCCAUUGAGUAGGGAACCCGAUGCGGGGCUCCAUCCCAGGACCCUUGGAUGAUGACCUGAGCCGAAGGUAGAGGGUUCACUGGCUGAGCCACCCAGGCGCCCUUUCUAAGCCCCUUUGAGUUCACGCGUAUGGAAUUUAAGAAGUAAGACAAAUGAGCAACAAUGGAAAAAGGAGACAAAAAAUAAACAAAAAACCAGAAUUCUAAUACAGAGAAGAAGCUGGCGGAUGCCAGAGGCAAGUGACGGCAGAAAGAAAAAAGGAACCAUUGCUUGAGCUUCAGACAGAAACAAUGAAUGCUGGCCUGUGCCGUGUUUCUUCUAUCAGGAAGAACAGCUUCUGAG